GUGGUAGGAGCUGAAUCGUCAGAUUUGUAAUCACAUUUUCGAGUGGGCUGAUGGAAAUGUUGUUUUCGUGGACCAGUGACCACUGUUUGGGAAGCUGUGGCUAGCGAACAAUCGAUGAUAAACAAUCAAAUUUUACUCGGUGUGGCGGUGGUUCGGCUGUGCUGUGACUGUGUAAGAUAUAGUUGGAAAUAGGGAUGGAGAAGAAAGUAAAGCAAGUAUGGAGCAUGGUGGUACAAAUAAAGGAGGGCGGUGUUGAGCAGCUCGACUGAUCAAGCAGGGAAGUAGUGGAUUAAAGGGGUGAUAACAGGAGUUUCUGUGAGUGUUAUAUGUGUUAUGUGAGAGCUUAUGUACCGAAGCCUUUAAGAUGCUAGAGGUUUGGGCAUGUGGCAACAGCCUGUAAAGGGAAAAAGAGGUGUGGAGGGGAGUAUUGGAAGUGUGGCAUGCUGUACAACUAAAGUGCUGCAGCUGUGGGGGUGCUCAUAGUGUGGCAUAUAGUUGGUGUGAGGCUAUGAAGCAGGCAGUGGAGGUGUAACAAGUGAGAGUGGCAAGAAGGGUGUCAUAUGCUGAGGCAGUGAGGGUGGUCCAGGUCCAGGGACAUACAGGUUCAAGGGAGAGAUGGGUAAGGAGCAUCUAGACCAGGGAUUACGGGGCAGGUGGGAGGCGAUAUGUUAUACAUAGAGAAGAGAAUGCUGGUGACGUUCAUAGCAGGAGCUAUCAAUAGCAAAGUAGAGUCUAAAACAGAGAGGAUUCAGCUAAUAGUGAAAGCUGCUGGGACACAUCUGAGUAUGACAGGGUUGACAUGGGAUGAGGUUCGGAUGAUCUCAAUUAGUGGAGUCAUGUAUUACUGGAUCUUAGUUAUGGUGGUAGUGCCACAAUGGAAUGCUUGAAGCCUGUUGACUAAUGGCCAGCAGUUUAUUGUAGAUAUGCCAGCUAAGCCUGAUGUGAUUUGUGUGCAGGAAACAUGGCUCAAACCGAAUGUGGCGUGUAUCAUACAGGGAUAUGUAGUGGUUUGUAGGGACGGAGAUAUUUGGGGAGGAUGUGCCACAUUCAUAAAGCAUGCACUUCCUUACAGGAUGUUAUGGAAAAGGUAUUGAACAGGAAUGUAUGGAGGUGUGGUUGAGGGGGGUGGUAGUGAACUACUAUGAUACGUGUCAGAUAUUGGAUUUAGAAGUGCUGGAGAGGGGGAAGGGCCAGGACAGAAGUAAGGUAAUGUGGUGUGGAGAUUUUAAUGGAAAUGGCCAAGUGAUGGAAAAUCUGAUAGGAAUGAAAGAUCUGGUGUGCCUGAAUGAUGGCAGAGGGACCAGGAUUGAUGUAACCACAGUGAAAGAGUCUGCCUUGGACCUCUCUCUGGUAUCUAGUGCGAUGGCAGGAAUCUGUGAGUGGGAAAUAUUGGAGUCGACGACAGUAGAGAGUGAUCAUUACCCCAUAGUAUGCACAGUAGGGCGGAAGGAGGAGGAGGUGUCAGUGGAUGGAGUAGGCAGGUGGGUGUUUGGAAAGGCAAUGUGGGAUCAGUUUCGAGAGCUGAGUGAGCAGGUGAUGGCUCAGGUGGAUAUGAGAGGGGAUGUGGAUAGUAUGAAUAACUGGGUGAGAACAGCAUCAAUGAGGCAGCUACUGAGGCUAUACCGAAGAGUUCAGGGAGGAGGAGGAAGCAGUCCCAUAGUGGACGGAGGAGUGUGGGGAAAUGGUGAGGAGUAGGAACAGGGCAUUUAGAGUACUGAAAAGGAUGCCUAACUUCCAGUACGUCUGACUCAGUAUAAGCAGGCCCAGGCCCUGGUGAGGAGGGCCGACUCUUUUCUCUGUAUAUAUCAAUGAUGUCGCUAUUGCUGCUGGUGAUUCUCUGAUCCACCUCUACGCAGAGGACACCAUUCUGGGAAAUCACGCACAGAACGAGCAGUUGGUGGCAUUGUCAUGCUGGAGGGUUAUGUCAGGAUGAGCCUGCAGGAAGGGUACCACAUGAGGGAGGAGGAUGUCUUCCCUGUAACGCACAGCAUUGAGAUUGCCUGCAAUGACAACAAGCUCAGUCCAAUGAUGCUGUGACACACCGGCCCAGACCAUGACGGACCCUCCACCUCCAAAUCGAUCCUGAGUACCGGCCUUGAUGUAACGCUUAUUCCUUUGACGAUAAACGCAAAUCUGACCAUCACCCCUGGUGAGACAAAACCGUGACUCGUCAGUGAAGAGCACUUUUUGCCAGUCCUGUCUGGUCCAGCGACAGUGGAUUUAUGCCCGAAUGCAACGUUGUUGCCAGUAAUGUCUGGUGAGGACCUGCCUUACAACAGGCCUACAAGCCCUCUGUCCAGCCUCUCUCAGCCUAUUGCGGACAGUCUGAGCACUGAUGGAGGGAUUGUGCGGUUCCUGGUGUAACUCAGGCCAUUGUUGUUGCCAUCCUGUAUCUGUCACGCAGGUGUGAUGUUCGGAUGUAACGAUCUUGUGCAGUUGUUGUAAAACAUGGUCUGCCACUGCGAGGCCGAUCAGCUGUCCACCCUGUCUCCCUGUAGCACUGUCUUAGUAGUACGGAUAUUGCAAUUUAUUGCCCUGGCCACAUCUGCAGUCAUCAUGCCUCCUUGCAGCAUGCCUAAGGCACUUUCACGCAGAUGAGCAGGGACCCUGGGCAUCUUUCUUUUGGUGUUUUUCAGAGUCAGUAGAAGGGUCUCUUUAGUGCCCUAAGUUUUCAUAACUGUGACCUUAACCUCUCUGCGAUCGUCCGGGACGCUAGCGUCCCACCUCGCCAACAACCAGUGAAAUUGCAGGGCGCCGAAUUCAAAACAACAGAAAUCUCAUAAUUAAAAUUCCUCAACCAUACAAGUAUUUUACACCAUUUUAAAGAUACACUUCUCGUUAAUCCAGCCACAGUGUCAGAUUUCAAAAAGGCUUUCCUAUGAAAGCAGAACAUAUCAUUAUGUUAGGUCAGCAACUAGUCACAGAAAGCAUUCAGCCAUUUUACAACCAAAGAGAGGUGUCACAAAAAGCAGAAAUAUAGAUCAAAUUAAUCACUAACCUUUGACGAUCUCCAUCAGAUGACACUCCUAGGACUCAAUGUUACACAAUACAUGUAUGUUUCGUUCGAUCAAGUUCAUAUUUAUAUCCAAAAACCUCAGUUUACAUUGGCGCCAUGUUCAAAAAUGCCUCCGAAACAUCCAGAGAAAUUGCAGAGGGCCACAUCAAAUAACAGAAAUACUCAUCAUAAACUUUGAUGAAAGAUACAUGUUUUACAUAGAAUUAAUGAUAAACCUGUUCUUUAUGCAACCGCUGUGUCAGAUUUCAAAAAAGCUUUACGGCAAAAGCACAAUAUUCAAUAAUCUGAGAACAGCGUUCAGCCACAAAAGCAAGCCAUAGCCGACAAAUUGUGGAGUCAACAAAAGUCAUAAAUAGCAUUAUAAAUCUUCACUUACCUUUGCUGAUCUUCGUCGGAAUGCACUCCCAGGACUCCCACAAGAAAUGUUUGUUUUGUUAGAUUACGUCCAUAUUUAUGUCCAAAUACCUCCGUUUUGUUCGCGCGUUUAGUUCACUAUUCCAAAGGCACAAUGCGCAAGUGCAAAAUCCAGAUGAAGAGUCAAAAGAGUUCCAUUACAGUUUGAAUAAACAUGUCAAUCGAUGUUUACAAUCAAUCUUUAGGGUCUUUUUUAUAACACAACAAUAGCGUAUUCAUUACAGAGGAAAAAGAAGGAACGGCGCGCCCGCGUGACCACGCAGUAAACAACUGAUUGGCCUCAGCCUAGUCCAUUUGUUGAAACAGCUCUUAUUCGACACCCUUCCACAAAAGAAGCCUCAAACAAUUUUCUAAAGACUGUUGACAUCUGCUGGAAGCCUUGGGAAGUGCAAUCUGUUCCCAUAGACACAGCAUAUUGGAUAGGCAAUCACUUAAAUGAAACUACAAACCUAAGAUUUCCCACUUCCUGGUUGGAUUUGUCUCAGGUUUUCACCUGCCAUAUGAGUUCUGUUAUACUCACAGACAUCAUUCAAACAGUUUUAGAAACUUCAGAGUGUUUUCUAUCCAAUAUUACUAAUAAUAUGCAUAUACAGUGGGGAAAAAAAGUGUUUAGUCAGCCACCAAUUGUGCAAGUUCUCCCACUUAAAAAGAUGAGAGAGACCAGUAAUUUUCACGAUAGGUACACUUAUUAGCAUCUGGGACAGAGUAGCAGGCAGUUUACUCUGGGCACCUUAUUCAUCCAAGCUACUCAAUAAUGCUCCCCUGUCACCAAGAAGUUAAUUGCCUACCGUCUGUAAGCUGUUAUUGUCUUAAUGACCGUUCCACAGGUGCAUGUUCAUUAAUUGUUUAUGGUUCAUUGAACAAGCAUGGGAAACAGUGAUUAAACCCUUUACAAUGAAGAUCUGUGAAGUUAUUUGGAUUUUUACAAAUUAUCUUUGAAAGACAGGGUCCAGAAAAGGAAUGUUUCUUUUUUUGCUGAGUUUAUAUAUUUUUCAAAUGACAAUCACGUUUUUAUUUGGCGUUCCGCCGACGGCAUUGCAAGUACUACCUGCUCUAUACCAUUUUACAGGUACAACGACUUGUGUACUUUACAGAUGGUUUGUUUCAAUGAAAUGCCAAUUAUCCCAAAGUGAGCAGUCUGCACUGCUGGGCAGUGAGAUUGUUUUGGGAGAUAUGUAAGAUGGGAGGGUAUUCGCGCCUUUUAUUUUCUUCUCUCCAUUUGGGCAAUUUUGUUUGCUUCUCUUGUUUCAUCACCACUUUUCACUACACCUCUCUUGUGGGCUGUCUCUCUCUCCUCACACUCACAUUCUCUAUCUCGUUCCCUCUCUCAUAUCCCCCUGUUUCGCUCAGCUCAGGCGUCACAGUUUGCCUUCUAGGACCCUUUUCCUGGAAACGGCCCUAUGGCUGAGGCCACCUCGGGGCAAGAUGGGAAGGAGUAGGGGGAACAGGCAUAUUCCUGCAAAUCACAUGGUACAGGAGGUGCCUUCACUUCUUGUCUUAAAUUAGUUCAGCUUGUGGUCUACGAUGUGGUUGAGAGAUAAAUGGAAGCAUGGAGUACAGUGGGCGAUUACCCUGAUAUGCCAACUACACAUAUGUGUCCAUCCUGCCACAGCUUUGUGUAGUAUUUCUACACCACUGUUUUAGUUAGAUUCGUUAUGUGUAUCAGCCUGCCCCACCCUUGUGAGUUCUGGUGUUCUCUGCUUAUCCUGUCUCCCUCUCUCCAGCCCCCUCAUUCCUGCCAGACCCUGAGGAUCACGUGACCUCUGUAUAGGUUUUCCAUAAAUUCCUCACAUUCAACCAAUGGGCAUCCAGUAUCACAACCUUCGGUUUCCCUGUUACCUCAUUCCUGCCUGCACGUGUGCAUUCUUCAGUCUCUCUCCCUAUAGGUCAAUGUAUAGGCUAAUCUAUAGUUCAAGGCCAAGCAGUACCUCGCACAAUGCACAGCACACUGUAUUGCUGAUCAGGCACAGGUUGUUGGAAGAGUAUGUUGUCAGAGAGUGAGACAUUACAUGUGAAAGUUUAGUCCAUUACAUUAGUCCUCAGAGGCCCUGAUGAAACAACAUAUAGAAAACAUCUUUCAUCCUGGUGUCAACUAUAGACAUGUUGGCCUAUCUAUUAUUCGCUGCAAUGUAUUUUGUUUGUAUAUCACAAUGAAAUUCAUAUAAUUAAUGUAUAGCUCUUAUCUGCAGCCUAUUCACACUGCUGUUUUUUCAUGAGCUUUUUAUCUUAUAAAAAAUCACACUUCCUGUGUUCUUUACUUGCUGUUUGUUUAAACUUUUUCCUGACAUUUCUGUUAUGCAUGUUGUUUUCUGUUUUAAUUUGAUACAUUUAUUUUACAGCUGUGUUUUAUCAGCUGGUGAACACUUUCAAUAUCUUAAUCGCUUAGUACAAUUAGUAAAAAUGUAAAAAAAUCAUACAGACCCAUAUGCAAACAUACCAUAAUUUGCCAAUAUAACAGAUAUUCUACAUUUCUUAAUCCUCCAGACCAGGUAUUUCCAAACUGUGGUACGCGCAAUGCUGUCUAGGGUACGCCAAAUAAAAAUGUGAUUCACUUUUAAAAAAUGUAUUUUUUCUUCACAUUUUCCAACAGUAUAUUUAUAUUUUUCAACAAGUGAGUUUUUUCUCUCACCUGAGUAGCCUCGUUUCACUGCCAAAAUAAAAUACAAUUAUCUAGUGUUCAGCGAAAUAACAACACAAUGUCAAAUAAUUAACCUAGUCAAAUAAUUAACAUCCAAUCACAUUAACCAUUACUCUCUCACGGGAAACCUUCACUCAUAAGCAGACAUUUAUAAACGAAACAUGACCAUUUGAAAAAUAAGCCACAGGGUUUUUUUGAGCGAGAAUAAAGGUGACUUUCGAGUAGUAAGACAUGUAUAAAAGCAACAGAUACCAUUAAGAAGGGGCUAGAAGCGUCUUAUAUGAUGAGCUACCGAGUAGCUAGGACAUGUUAUUAUAUUGGACUUUGAGGUCUUAUUACAUUCAUACAUAAUACCACAAGAGGAUCUGAAGGAAGCUGCUCCUGCGUUGUCUUGGCUGUGUGCUUAAGGUCGUUUUCCUGUUGAAAGGUGAACCUUCGCCCCAGUCUGAGAUCCUGAGCGCUCUGGAGCAGGUUUCAUCAAGAUUCUCUGUACUUUGCUCUGUUCAUCUUUCCCUCGAUCCUGACUCGUCUCCCAAGUCCCUGUCAUUGAAAAACAUCCCCACAGCAUGAUGCUGCCACCACUGUGCUUCACCGUAGGGAUGGUGCCAGGUUUCCUCCAGAUGUGACACUUGGCAUUCAGGCCAAAGAGUUGAAUCUUGGUUUCAUCAGACCAGAGAAUCUUGUUUCUCAUGGUCUGAGAGUCUUUAGGUACCUUUUGGCAAACUCCAAGCGGACUGUCAUUUGCCUUUUACUGAAGACUGGCUUCCGCCUGACCACUCGACCACAAAAACCUGAUUGGUGGAGUGCUUCAGAGACGGUUGUUCUUCUGGAAGAUUCUCUCAUCUCCACAGAGGAACUCUCGAGCUCCCUGACCAAGGCCCUUCUCCCCUGAUUACUCAGUUUGGCUGGGCGGAGAGCUCUAGGAGGAGUCUUGGUGGUUCCAAACUUCUUCCAUUUAAGAAUGGACAUUCAAUGCUGCAGAAAUGUUUUUGGACCCUUCCCCAGAUCUGUGCCUUGACACAAUCCUGCCUUGGAGCUCUAUUGACAAUUCCUUUGACCUCAUGGCUUGGUUUUUGCUCUGACAUGCACUGUCAACCAUGGAACCUUAUAUAGACAGGUGUGUGCAUUUCCAAAUCAUGUCCACGGGUGGACACCAAUCAAGUUGUAGAAACAUCUCAAGGAUGAUCAAUGGAAACAGGAUGUACCUGAGCUCAACUUCUAGUCUCAUAGCAAAGUGUCUAAAUACCUUUGUAAAUAAGGUGUCUGUUUUUUAUUUUAAUACAUUUGCAAAAAUUUCUAACGAUCUGUUUUCCCUUUGUCAUUAUGGGGUAUUGUGUGUAGAUUGAGGAUUUUUAUUUAUUUAAUCCAUUUUAGAAUAAGGCUGUAACAAAACAAAGAAAUGGAAAAAGUCCAGGGGAAUACUUUCUGAAUGCACUUGUAUUUACUUUUUUUUUUAAGUUAUUCAUGUCAAAUUCAAACACUCAUUUAUAAUAAUGUACCUAAUAUUGCAUAAUAAUGUACAUAAUGUUUAUAAUCAGUUUAUUUGCAGAUAUUUUCAAAUAAAGUGUUAUAAUAUGUUA